rnacentral:rRNA from 1 species
AGAACGAACGUUGGCGGCGUGGAUUAGGCAUGCAAGUCGAACGAAUGCCAAGGGGGUAACUCCGAGGCGGAAGUGGCGAAAGGGGCAGUAAUGCAUGGGUAACUUACCCUGGAGUCAGGCAUAGCCGUCCUAACGGACGGGUAAUUCUUGAUGGCCCAGCGAGUUGGCAUCAUCUUGCUGGUAAAGAAUCUCGCUCCGGGAGAGACCCAUGUCGUAUUAGCUAGUUGGUGAGGUAACGGCUCACCGAAGCUUAGAUGCGUAGCGGGUGUGAGAGCACGACCCGCGCCACUGGCACUGACGUACACUGGCCAGACCACCGUACGGGUCGCUGCUAGUCGAGG